ACGUAAUUUCUUACGUUGAAAUACAAGAACACAUGUUUCUAGAGAACGGGUAAACUGCGCGCCAAAGUCGAAUUGUUUAAAAGUUAAUGAGUGGAAUCCAGUGGAAUAAAGGAUACACAAAGUACGAUUUGAGAGAGCGAAAAGUCCUAUACCAACCAGAAUCGUAUCCCAGCAAGACAAGUAAAAAACAGGAAAAAAGAAGACAUAAUUACGAUUCAGAGAAGCUGGGAAAACAGUUAUUAAUAUUAAAGAA